rnacentral:lncRNA from 1 species
GGGGUAAUCCGAAAAGUUGUCUCACUUAACUCGUGUGCCAUCCCACGUCUCAUCGCAUACGUCUGUUUACGAUCAGACGCUCCAGAAAGAAUUUUCAGAUUUUCACCGGGCAACUAUUUUCACCAGAUACGCUCCCUAUCAAGGUCGUUUGAGCAUUAGACAUCCGUUUUUGUAUGGGUCUAGUUGACUUCAAAACAAUGGAUAGUCUUUGAUAAGUUUUAUUCUAAUCCUCUAGUGGUUAUCAUCUAACAAUGGUUUUUUUCAUUGAGAUGGGAGCUACUAAGUCUAGACUGUCGACCUUGUUUCGGUAGAGGUAACUGUGUUGUGGUGGUUCAGUAGCGGGGUGUCUUGGGUGGUUGCGCAAAUCCGGAUCAUCUUGCGACCUUGUUUCGGUGGAAGCCGACUAUGUUGCUUCGACACGAUAGUUGUCGAGGAGGUCUGCCACAAGGUGCAAACGUCGUGGAUGGGCCGGGGUUAGACUUUUCAAUCCCGUGUCCAUGUUCUAUGAGUGCCUUCCCCGCUGAUCUGGUUUUUAUGGGGCACCUUUCCCCUUUGUCAGCUAGUUUCUGAUCACUCAUAUGUUCAUAUUGCUGUAGAACUACCUUGAAUUGACUGAUGGACUCUCGAAUUUUGAUGAUCCCAAAGCAGUCUUCUUUAGACGUGCGACGUGGAUCUCGUAUGCAGGGUCAUUUGCUUUAUCAUCGUUUAGUUUUUCCUAGAAAGGCAUACCAAUUUUGUAGGUGAAUGUACGUUUUGUUCAUGUUUGGUUUCUGGUUGUCAAGGGUAGGAGGUAUAUAUGGUAUUGCCGAUUCGGCAAGUAGGGAUAUAUCAGAAGCUGACUUUUGUUAGGCGGUGCUUUUCGAGUAUCGGGUCUCGGGCUCCACGGUGAAAACAAGUAUGAUUUUCACUGGUUAUGCCUAGCAAUCAGGUGUAUACGCACUGUUUCCUUGUUGAAGGCAUUGUUCGGUGACCAUCCGAAUGUGCUCUUUGAGAUGAAAACUCAUGAUUUGAGUUUCAUGCAUCUGAAGCCAGUGGAGCAACUGGAGAUCCUUUUCUCGUCGUCUAAAUGUUGUACUGUUGGUGUGGCUGAUGUUGAAGAUUGCUACUAUGACUCUGAUGGACUCAGAGCCUUAUUUGCUUUCUCUUUUUUCAUAAUUUGGCUAUAUGCACCUCUAAUGUCUCAAUUAGAUCUUUGACGUCGUGUGUUAUGUUCCCUCCAACAACAAUAAAAUGAUCAUCUCAUGCUUUUUAUUUUGACGGUUGACAUCAGUUAAUUUGUUAGCUUUACUUUGAUGUUUUUCUUUCCUUUUUGUACGAACCCAGUGGUCGAGCGGGCUCAGUGAACCUUUUUCUUUCUUUCUUUUUUGGUUUGGCUUCGUGUAUGUAAACGCAGAAAUGGAGUGAAUACGGUUUUUUUUUAUGUGCUACGUAUAUGAGCUGAAGUUUAAACGAAAAGCAAAUAGAUUCGAUGUGUCAUACGAAAUUCAGGCCUUAAUGAACUACCCAGUUCCACUAAAAUUAUCAAAGGACUGCUCGUACACAUAAUCUCCCAUUCUCCCUGAAAAUCUUUUGAGCGAGCAAAGGAAAAGUUGGUCAAACUUUCAAAAGGAUAAGAAUCUACUUUAGAGAAGGAAAUAUUUUUCCUUUUCUCAAAAGGCUGAGACAGAGAUACCGAGAUUUGGAACUAUUGAUCAAAUAUCUAGAGGAAACUCCACUUAUCCCAGGGAAACGCAGCAACCAUAGCACACAUUUUCCUCUAACACGUACUCUGCUGUCCAAGGAAUGCAUGCAUGCAAAAGCUAUGGAGCAGAGUUAAGCACACUGCACACUUUGGGCUUUGCUUUCCUAACUCUGAACUGAGUUUUCAAUUCUCGUUCCAUCUCGAUGGCACACUUUGGACGCACAUACGUUACGGCAGAAUCCGGGGCGGGAUUCAGUCGGGCACUUUGCCGCAGGCCACAGGAAACGCAACCACAUCUUUCCCGAAAGCGCACGCAGGAUGAGGGAUUGAGGGAGAAGGAAUCCCACAAAGGCAAAGGCAGCACGAACGCACGAUUGGUCAGACGACGACAGAAGGCAUGAAAGUGAAACGAAAGGCGGCGAGCACCGCAUCCUGUCGCCGCCGGCAAGG